AUUGGAAUGAUGGGAAUUUAAACCUCUUCCAGAGUAUCAAUUGGAGGGCAAGUCUGGUGCCAGCAGCCGCGGUAAUUCCAGCUCCAAUAGCGUAUAUUAAAAUUGUUGCAGUUAAAAAGCUCGUAGUUGAAUUUCUGCUGCAUUGUUUCUUCUCAUGUCGAGUGAUUCAUUGUGGCUUAUUUCGGAUUGUUUUUUACUUUCCGGAUGAUUACUUUGAGAAAAUUAGAGUGCUCAAAGCAGGCUUUUGCCUUGAAUAGUUUAGCAUGGAAUAAUAAAGUAGGACUUUGGUUCUAUUUUGUUGGUUUUAGGUACCAAAGUAAUGGUUAAUAGGAACAGUUGGGGGCAUUCGUAUUUAACUGUCAGAGGUGAAAUUCUUAGAUUUGUUAAAGACGAACUACUGCGAAAGCAUUUGCCAAGGAUGUUUUCAUUAAUCAAGAACGAAAGUUAGGGGAUCGAAGA
rnacentral:rRNA from 1 species